rnacentral:lncRNA from 1 species
ACGGGCUCUGUAUUCUAGGGGGGAUUUUAGACGCUUAAAUAAUUCUUUUAAAAGAUCUCUGCUGACAUCCACGGGUCCUAUAAUUAACAUCUAAGCUUUCACAAGCCGGAAGUGUUCCGUCACCCCUAAAAAUACAGAGCCCCAUCUUUGUCUUCCUCCCGUGGUUUGUUAGCAAUUUGUCCAGUCCCCUGUUUCCUCCAUCCCUCUCUCGCCUUUACACAUGUUCGCCCCAGAUGCGGACAUUCAAGCCCUGCGUUCCUUUUACUUUUCUAAGUUUUGAACUCUGCCCUCUAGAAAAAUCAAAAGAUUACAGUCACUGGACAUCUGAUUCAGCUUUUUUUUAAUGCUAAAAAAAGACUCUAGCUAUAGCAGAUUUCCACAGCUGUUGUCCUAACGCCUCUGUGAUCUCCAACUCUGCUCCAGGCGACCCAACGACCCCCUCCCCCACCCCCCAGCAAAUGUGUCUUUGACAGAGGAAGUAUUUGAAAACUGGAGUAAGAAUUGAUUGAAUGAAGGAGGAAGUUGUAGCCAGCUUGAUAGACUUCCCGGACUCGGCCUGGGGAGCCAGUUGGACCUAAAAGUGAUUGAUCCCUGGGCAAGUUAAUUAACCUCUGAGGCUCCCUGCUCUGAUUCUUAAAGGACCCCACCAUUCAAAACAUCUCACAAGGGAGGAAAUUGAACAUAUGUGUGAACAGGGCUGUCAUCAGAAGUUUCAGUGCAUCACAGGUG